GUUCCCCGACACAGUCCUCAGGGACCACCAACAGUCCAGGAUUUAAGUAUUUACCUGUUUUAUUCCAAUGGAAAUACUGACAAAACAUGGACUGUUGGUGGUCCCUGAGGACUGGGUUGGGGAA
rnacentral:miRNA from 1 species